rnacentral:RNase_P_RNA from 1 species
AGAGCAGCCGGGACGAUCGCGGAAUCCAUAUGGGAUUUCGAGGAAAGUCCGAACACCGCAGGGCAGGGUGCUCCAUAACGUGGAGUCGCGGCAACGUGAAGGAAAGUGCAACAGAAAGUAUACCGCCCGAAUGCCGGUAUCUCCGUACCGGGUGAAUGUUUCAUCCGGAACCGGGAACACCGGCAGGCAGGGUAAGGGUGAAACGGUGCGGUA